rnacentral:rRNA from 1 species
AGCAGUAGUGGAAUCUUCGGCAAUGGGGGCAACCCUGACCGAGCAACGCCGCGUGAGUGAAGAAGGUUUUCGGAUCGUAAAGCUCUGUUGUAAGAGAAGAACGUUGAGUAGAGUGGAAAGUUACUCAAGUGACGGUAUCUUACCAGAAAGGGACGGCUAACUACGUGCCAGCAGCCGCGGUAAUACGUAGGUCCCGAGCGUUGUCCGGAUUUAUUGGGCGUAAAGCGAGCGCAGGCGGUUUAAUAAGUCUGAAGUUAAAGGCAGUGGCUCAACCAUUGUUCGCUUUGGAAACUGUUAAACUUGAGUGCAGAAGGGGAGAGUGGAAUUCCAUGUGUAGCGGUGGAAU